CCUCGUAGCUCGGUCACGAUAUC
rnacentral:miRNA from 15 species